rnacentral:rRNA from 1 species
UCGAGCGGACAGAUGGGAGCUUGCUCCCUGAUGUUAGCGGCGGACGGGUGAGUAACACGUGGGUAACCUGCCUGUAAGACUGGGAUAACUCCGGGAAACCGGGGCUAAUACCGGAUGCUUGUUUGAACCGCAUGGUUCAGACAUAAAAGGUGGCUUCGGCUACCACUUACAGAUGGACCCGCGGCGCAUUAGCUAGUUGGUGAGGUAACGGCUCACCAAGGCGACGAUGCGUAGCCGACCUGAGAGGGUGAUCGGCCACACUGGGACUGAGACACGGCCCAGACUCCUACGGGAGGCACAGUAGGGAAUCUUCCGCAAUGGACGAAAGUCUGACGGAGCAACGCCGCGUGAGUGAUGAGGUUUUCGGAUCGUAAAGCUCUGUUGUUAGGGAAGAACAAGUGCCGUUCAAAUAGGGCGGCACCUUGACGGUACCUAACCAGAAAGCCACGGCUAACUACGUGCCAGCAGCCGCGGUAAUACGUAGGUGGCAAGCGUUGUCCGGAAUUAUUGGGCGUAAAGGGCUCGCAGGCGGUUUCUUAAGUCUGAUGUGAAAGCCCCCGGCUCAACCGGGGAGGGUCAUUGGAAACUGGGGAACUGAGUGCAGAAGAGGAGAGUGGAAUUCCACGUGUAGCGGUGAAAUGCGUAGAGAUGUGGAGAACACCAGUGGCGAAGGCGACUCUCUGGUCUGUAACUGACGCUGAGGAGCGAAAGCGUGGGAGCGAACAGGAUUAGAUACCCUGGUAGUCCACGCCGUAAACGAUGAGUGCUAAGUGUUAGGGGGGUUUCCCGCCCCUUAGUGCUGCAGCUAACGCAUUAAAGCACUCC